ensembl:lncRNA
UGGACACUGUAGAGAUAACGAGGGAUGACAGUAGUAACAGUUUGUGUGAAUUGCUCUGCAUAGCCAAGCCAUCUUCAGGUGAAGGUUCCUUGAAUUACAUAUGGAUCGAAAAUGAACAUUUUCUCUGGAAUAGAUUCCACCUGACUGUCAAUAAGAGUGACCUGUCCCACAAUUACACUUGUAAUGCAAGUAACCCAGUGAGUUGGAAGAUUACUACAGUAAAGGCAGAAGACAUUUGUAAAGGGGAUAGAAAGAUUGGCAAAGCAGGAAAUGGUAUUCCUUGGCAGAGAUUUUUUGCAUUGGUACUAGGAAGUGUUGGCAUAAUCGGAAUUGGAGCUGUAGGAUGGCGCCUAUAUCAAAACAGGGAUGGCAAGACUGAUGACACAGCAGGAAAUGGUCCUGGACCAGGCAGCAGCAGAGGUAUGUUGAUGAGGAUGUACGUUUUGUAGUGACAUUGGCUCCCAUUCACACUAACUGAGUAUCAUACUUUGAGUAUACUUAGACUAUUGUGCAAACUUACCACCAGUUUCCCAUCAUAUGCUUGUGAUUCUAGUUCUUUCUGUUUUGACA